UACGUAGGGUGCAAGCGUUGUCCGGAAUUAUUGGGCGUAAAGAGCUCGUAGGCGGUUCGUCGCGUCGGCUGUGGAAACCUGAGGCUCAACCUCAGGCCUGCAGUCGAUACGGGCGGACUUGAGUACUGCAGGGGGAGACUGGAAUUCCUGGUGUAGCGGUGAAAUGCGCAGAUAUCAGGAGGAACACCGGUGGCGAAGGCGGGGUCUCUGGGCAGUAACUGACGCUGAGGAGCGAAAAGCGUGGGGGAGCGAACAGG
rnacentral:rRNA from 1 species